CAUUAUUUUCAUUUUACGGGAGGAGAUGGCUACAUCUUCACAAUAAUUUACACUGCCAUAGUACACUGCUAAACAGUACUGUAACAUGGAUUUGUAUCAGGCUAUGAAGUCAUUUAAAGCAUAACUUUACUUUUCAGGGGGACAUGCUCUCUAUCAGGAGGUGGUGGUUGGACAGCUGUUGGAGACCUUUAUGCUAGAAAGCCCUGCAGAACUAGCUGGCUCCUUCUCACCCUCUCCAUCUCCCCAUCUCAGUCACACCUUCCAAUCACUAAGCAGUGAAAGCCCUGCAGGACUAGCUGGCACACCAAGCUCACCCUCUCCAUCUCCCCAUCUCAGCCACACGCUCCAAUCUGGCACAACAGAGGACAGGCCAUUCUUACCACCCGAAGUCCUUCAGCAAAUUGUACAAGAGACGCUGAGACUGGACAUGGCGAUGCUUGGCGUGUUCAACAGGGUUUCAAACACAUUCCGAGAACUAAUCAAGCCUCUCCAUCCUUCCAUAUAUAUAAAUGACAGUUUGGCAGGGGACAUUAAGCUUAAUAAAGACAAUCUCAUAUACAUAACGGUUAGAAAGAUUUACAACAAUGCAGGCUGUGGCAGUGGCCUUGCGCUACGCCUCAAAGGCUUCUCAAAAAAGAAGAAUUGGCCAAGCGCACCCCUGGUACUGAGGCACGUUGCAUAUGGCAGGUUUGUCAUAAAAGAUGUCUGCCUUGCAUAAUGUUAUUUUAUUACUCCUUUUUCGUUUUAUUUGGGACGUCUUUUUUUGCAAUCCCUUUCAUUUGUAAAUGUACAUACUACUGUAGUAAAUGUAUCUGCCCAGAAAUGCUGGUAUUUUAUUACUCCUUUCUUUUUUGUUUUUGUGACAAA